rnacentral:rRNA from 1 species
CAGCCGCGGUAAUUCCAGCUCCAAUAGCGUAUACUAAAGUUGUUGCGGUUAAAAAGCUCGUAGUUGGAUCUUGGAAUGUGUUCAAGCGGGUCAGUUUCUGGCUGUGCGCUGCUUGACGUGUUCUUCUAUUUGGUUUUGGUGCGGUGCGCUUAACUGCGUGUCGCUCCCGGCCGAAACGUUUACCUUGAAAAAAUUAGAGUGUUCAAAGCAGACCUGUUUGAGUCUGAAUAUUCGUGCAUGGAAUAAUGAAAUAUGAAUUCGGUUCUAUUUUGUUGGUUUUCGGAACUCGAGUUAAUGAUCAAGAGGGACAGACGGGGGCAUUCGUACUCUGCCGUUAGAGGUGAAAUUCUUGGAUCGGCGGAAGACGCGCAACUGCGAAAGCAUUUGCCAAGAAUGUUUUCUUUAAUCAAGAACGAUAGUCGGAGGUUCGAAGACGAUCAGAUACCGUCCUAGUUUCGACUGUAAACUAUGCCAGCUAACGAUCAGACAGAGUUCUCUACGACUUGUCUGGCAGUUUCCGGGAAACCAAAGCGUUUGGGUUCCGGGGGAAGUAUGGUUGCAAAGCUGAAACUUAAAGGAAUUGACGGAAGGGCACCACCAGGAGUGGAGCCUGCGGCUUAAUUUGACUCAACACGGGGAAACUCACCCGGCCCGGACACAGUGAGGAUUGACAGAUUGAGAGUUCUUUCUUGAUUCUGUGGGUGGUGGUGCAUGGCCGUUCUUAGUUGGCGGAGCGAUUUGUCUGGUUAAUUCCGAUAACGAACGAGACUCUGGCAUGUUAAAUAGUCGCGGAAGUGCGUAUGCACUUGCCGAAUUGACUUCUUAGAGGGACUAGUGAUUUUAAUUCACACGAGAUUGAGCAAUAACAGGUCUGUGAUGCCAGGCGA